AGAUCAGUUUUGCUCUUGUUCAUUACAUAUGAUUAACAUCUCUCAGGAGAUUUUCGAAUGAGCAUCAAACGCUAGCGCAGCAUUUUAAAGAUCAGUUUUGCUCUUGUUCAUUACAUAUGAUUAACAUCUCUCAGGAGAUUUUCGAAUGAGCAUCAAACGCUAGCGCAGCAUUUUAAAGAUUACAACUCUCGCAAUUCUUAUAUUCGCGAAUGCGUGCAAGUGCUUUGAUUGAAAGAUUGCUACAAAAAUGCACACGCAAUUCUGAGCUUCAGGCGUCAAGGAAGCAAUGUUCAGAAGAUCGACAGAACAUAGUUUUAUAAUACAUGCGUUUCCGCUGCUACUCGUAUUAAUAAAUUAGUACAAUUUAUUUUCAAUGUUAUUAGAGUGAUCAGUAAGAUAAGUGAGAUAGAUAGUGAGAGUUAAACUCACAUCUAAAAAUAAUGUGAGUUUAACUUUCAAGAUUGACAUAUUACACACAGUAAUUCCAGAAGUGAAUACUGGGCUUCAUCACGCACUAAUUUUUACGAUUAUCUUAUAAAAUGAUAAUAUAUAAAUAGACUAAUGUUUUUUGGAAUUGGACUUCUCAAUUAAUAAAAUUAUUUUUUACAAAUAUUGAUAAGUUUCAGAAAUUAUCAAGGGAUGGGUAAUUAUAUACUAUUAUUGCCUCACCUCCGAUUUUUAUGUCGAAUUGUCGUGUCGCAUGAUAAAGCAAUAUAAAAAUAGAAUAUCAAGUUUUCACGUUUUG